rnacentral:rRNA from 1 species
CGCGGCCUAUCAGCUUGUUGGUGGGGUGAUGGCUUACCAAGGCUUUGACGGGUAGCCGGCCUGAGAGGGCGACCGGCCACACUGGGACUGAGACACGGCCCAGACUCCUACGGGAGGCAGCAGUGGGGAAUAUUGCACAAUGGACGCAAGUCUGAUGCAGCGACGCCGCGUGAGGGAUGACGGCCUUCGGGUUGUAAACCUCUUUCGCCGGGGACGAAGCCUUUUGGGGUGACGGUACCUGGAGAAGAAGCGCCGGCCAACUACGUGCCAGCAGCCGCGGUAAGACGUAGGGCGCGAGCGUUGUCCGGAUUUAUUGGGCGUAAAGAGCUCGUAGGCGGCUUGCCGCGUCUGCCGUGAAAACCAGCAGCUUAACUGUUGGCUUGCGGUUGAUACGGGUGGGCUGGAGUUCGGUAGGGGAGACUGGAAUUCCUGGUGUAGCGGUGAAAUGCGCAGAUAUCAGGAGGAGCACCGGUGGCGAAGGCGGGUCUCUGGGCCGAUACUGACGCUGAGGAGCGAAAGCGUGGGGAGCGAACAGGAUUAGAUACCCUGGUAGUCCACGCUGUAAACGUUGGGCGCUAGGUGUGGGGGGCCUCUCCGGUUUCCUGCGCCGUAGCUAACGCAUUAAGCGCCCCGCCUGGGGAGUACGG